GGGAAUGUGGCCUAGUGGUAGAGCGCUUGCCUAGCAUGCAUGAAGCCCCGGGUUCAAUUCCUCAGUACCA
rnacentral:tRNA from 1 species